rnacentral:rRNA from 1 species
UACGGGGGGGGCAAGCGUUGUUCGGAAUUACUGGGCGUAAAGGGCUCGUAGGCGGCCAACUAAGUCAUACGUGAAAUCCCUCGGCUUAACCGGGGAACUGCGUCUGAUACUGGAUGGCUUGAGUUCGGGAGAGGGAUGCGGAAUUCCAGGUGUAGCGGUGAAAUGCGUAGAUAUCAGGAGGAACACCUGUGGCGAAAGCGGCUCACUGGACCAUAACUGACGCUGAUGCACGAAAGCUAGGGGAGCAAACAGG